rnacentral:rRNA from 1 species
UUAAGUCUAGUGGCGCACGGGUGCGUAACACGCGAGCAAUCUGCCGGGAAGUGGGGGAUAGCUCGCCGAAAGGCGAAUUAAUACCGCAUAUGGCCAAGGGGGACAUCCCUCUGACGCCAAAGUAGCAAUGCGCUUCCUGAUGAGCUCGCGGCCUAUCAGCUCGUUGGUGAGGUAACGGCUCACCAAGGCUUUGACGGGUAGCUGGUCUGAGAGGACGACCAGCCACACUGGGACUGAGACACGGCCCAGACACCUACGGGUGGCAGCAGUCGAGAAUUUUUCACAAUGGGGGCAACCCUGAUGGAGCGACGCCGCGUGGAGGAUGAAGGUUUUCGGAUUGUAAACUCCUGUCAUGUGGGAACAAGAAAGUGAUAGUACCACAAGAGGAAGAGACGGCUAACUCUGUGCCAGCAGCCGCGGUAAUACAGAGGUCUCAAGCGUUGUUCGGAUUCAUUGGGCGUAAAGGGUGCGUAGGCGGCGAGGUAAGUCGAGUGUGAAAUCUCGGGGCUCAACCCCGAAACUGCACUCGAUACUACUUUGCUCGAGGACUGUAGAGGAGAAUGGAAUUCACGGUGUAGCAGUGAAAUGCGUAGAUAUCGUGAGGAAGACCAGUUGCGAAGGCGAUUCUCUGGGCAGUUCCUGACGCUGAGGCACGAAGGCUAGGGGAGCAAACGGGAUUAGAUACCCCCGGUAGUCCUAGCAGUAAACGGUGCACGUUUGGUGUGGGAGGAUUCGACCCCUUCCGUGCCGGAGCUAACGCGUUAAACGUGCCGCCUGGGAAGUACGGUCGCAAGAUUAAAACUCAAAGAAAUUGACGGGGGCCCGCACAAGCGGUGGAGUAUGUGGCUUAAUUCGAUGCAACGCGAAGAACCUUACCUGCCCUUGACAUGUAUCGUGAAAAUCGGUGAAAGCCGGUGACUGCCCGCAAGGGUGAUGGGGAUACACAGGUGCUGCAUGGCUGUUGUCAGCUCGUGUCGUGAGAUGUUGGGUUAAGUCCCGCAACGAGCGCAACCCCUGUGAUCUGUUGCCACCGGCGCAAGCCGAGCACUCUGAUCAGACUGCCCUGUGAAACGGGGAGGAAGGUGGGGACGACGUCAAGUCAKYAUGGCCCUUACGGCCAGGGCUGCACACGUACUACAAUGCCCAGGAC